GACGAACGCUGGCGGCGUGCCUAAUACAUGCAAGUUGAGCGCUGAAGGUUGGUACUUGUACCGACUGGAUGAGCAGCGAACGGGUGAGUAACGCGUGGGGAAUCUGCCUUUGAGCGGGGGACAACAUUUGGAAACGAAUGCUAAUACCGCAUAAAAACUUUAAACACAAGUUUUAAGUUUGAAAGAUGCAAUUGCAUCACUCAAAGAUGAUCCCGCGUUGUAUUAGCUAGUUGGUGAGGUAAAGGCUCACCAAGGCGAUGAUACAUAGCCGACCUGAGAGGGUGAUCGGCCACAUUGGGACUGAGACACGGCCCAAACUCCUACGGGAGGCAGCAGUAGGGAAUCGUCGGCAAUGGACGAAAGUCUGACCGAGCAACGCCGCGUGAGUGAAGAAGGUUUUCGGAUCGUAAAACUCUGUUGGUAGAGAAGAACGUUGGUGAGAGUGGAAAGCUCAGCAAGUGACGGUAACUACCCAGAAAGGGACGGCUAACUACGUG
rnacentral:rRNA from 1 species